rnacentral:rRNA from 1 species
UACGUAGGGUGCAAGCGUUAUCCGGAAUUAUUGGGCGUAAAGAGCUCGUAGGCGGUCUGUCGCGUCGGCUGUGAAAACCCGGAGCUCAACUCCGGGCCUGCAGUCGAUACGGGCAGACUGGAGUUCGGCAGGGGAGACUGGAAUUCCUGGUGUAGCGGUGAAAUGCGCAGAUAUCAGGAGGAACACCGGUGGCGAAGGCGGGUCUCUGGGCCGAUACUGACGCUGGAGGAGCGAAAG